UGUAUUCGAAAGUCCAUCUUAUUACGCUUCAAACUUUUUCGAUAAUUUCAUUUCUCAUGGGUCUAGCACCGUGUGAUAUCGAUAUUGACGUUAAUUGUUUAAAAUCCGUGACAUUUAUUGUUACAUAUUCAUAUUCAUUAUUUGCCUGUGCUUACAGUAUUUCACUGGUCAUAUUUUUCGUUGGAGUAAAUGUAGCUGUUGUUCCUGAUCUAUACGAAAUAUCUUAUCCAAAUAACUCGACAAUAUCUAUGAUGAUAAUUGUGGUGCUUUCAGUGCAGACGAACAUAAUCGUAGUAAUAAUAAUAAUAUUUUAUUUAUUCUUUCAAAGACAUAUUAUGGCAUUCGGGAAUCGGUUGAGUGAAUUUGAUCGAAAAUUCGGGGACGCGUUGUGCGGAGUCUGUGAUAAUAUAUUAGGAAAUUUUAUUAAAUUAAUGACAAUUACACUGAUGGUGUUACUUUGGAUUGGAUUACUCGUUACGUCAAUCAUGGCUGGUGAUAUGUUAUUCUUCAUAACAUCAGGUUUUGGAAUUAUUUUCUGCAGUUGGUUUUUGAUACAGUUCAGUUUUGUUAAUUUUAUUCUGAGAGAUAGAUUGAAGGGACUUAAUGAUACUAUCAGAAAGUGGUCAUUAUCUGAAGGGAAUUUGUUUUAUAUUGGAUGUUCUUUGGAUAAUCAGUUGAGUGUUGGCAGUUUCAUUAGAUUUACCAGAGCAUGGGCUACAAUUUACAAUACAUCUUGUCAAGUUUCGCAGUUUUAUUCGUUUCCAGUGCUACUAGUUAUUUUUCACUGCUGUUGUUGUACCGUAUCCAGUUGUUAUUACUUUCUCAUGACACUUAUGGAGUCUGAGGACAGCUCACCUCUGAUUCUCUCAGUUAAUUCUAGCUUUUGGACUCUCGUGCAACUAUGUCCCAUCGUAAUAUUGAGCACCAGUGUCAAUAUGUUGUGCACUGAAGUGGGUAAAUUUAUUUGUGUUAAUUGAUUUUUUUUUUAAUUAAGUCAAACUUUUCGUCAAACAUUUUUAUUCAGGCGAAACGAACGACACAUAUUAUUUAUGAUAUCAUCCUGAUGUCCCCAACUGAUGGAGAAGUCGUAUAUCAGCUGAAUAGUUUUGUUAUUGAAUUGCUGCAUAAAAAAAUUGGAUUUACGGCGUGUGGAAUUUUUUCAUUGGAUUGUACUUUACUGAAUUCAAUUUUUGGAAUGCUUGUGACGUAUCUUCUAAUUCUUCUCCAGUUCAGACCAACAGAGGGAUAAUAUCGUACAGCAGGAAAUAAAUAACUGUAAAAUCUUGGAGUAAUUUUUUAAAUAAUUUAUUUAACUUUCACUUUCAAUUUAAUUAAAGGUGUGAUUUCAUUGUGAUCUCAAAUUUAACGCACUAUUUUCACUGACCUGCGGUAAGAUCGUCGGAAAAUUUGACGAAUAUUUUUAGAUCAAUUAGAUGAAAUAAAUAACUACAGGGAGAUGAAUAACGCGAUAAAUCAAUCGAAUACUAAGAAUGAUAUUUUGAAUUUUCUAUGUUUGCUCUUACACAUUUUUCGUAAUCACUCUUGAGUUUAUGAUCAUAGCUUCAUUCACUCAGUAAUCUCGUUGGUGUAAUUGUGAAAAUGAAAAUUUAUCUUUUACAAUUUCGUCGAGUCACUCGUAUGAACGAUUAAUUUCUCCCUUACAUAUUAUAUACAACAAUCUGCGCUCUAAUCGUCUGUACAUCGCAUUCAUUUGAGCAUCAUCAUCGGCGAACUUGACUAAAAAAAAAGGCCCUCCAUUAUUUCAAAAUCAUAAAAUUCAAUAAAACAUUUAAUGAUUCAACGAAUUACAACUGUUGAUAAACUUAGUCGCUCACUGAUUCAGUCACAAAUUUUCUGUAUUAAACGGUUUCUUUUUCACUCAUCAUAAUAUUAAAUAUAACGUGAUACUGUACAUUUAUCCAGACUUGUGUGUGAUUGAUAGAGAAUGGGGGGGUUUAGAUGAUUGCGAUGUAAGUCGAUUGGGAGAAAAUGAACUUGCC